CAACAACAACAACAACAACAAACCCAGUGUAUUCCCACCUAGUGGGGUCUGGGGGGUAAGAUGUACGCAGUCCAUACCUCUACCUCUAAAGAAGUAGAAAGGUUGUUUCCGAUAAACCCCCGGCUCAAGGCACGAGAUACCACACAAACACAUAGUAAAGCACAGAAGCAGAUUACAUAACAUAAAUACGGCACCCAUAAGUAAUAUAAAACAGAGGAAAGCAGAGGAAAGCACACAGAUUCGUAAUAAAACAUGGAACACGGAACACAGAAUCAUAACAGGAAUAAAA
rnacentral:lncRNA from 1 species